GGACAACCUGCCUAGGGGCUGGACUACCUCCGGGAAACUGUUGAUAAUUCCCCAUGGACCAUACAUACUGUAAUGUUUUGUGGGAAAAAGAUCCGGCGCCUUAGGAUGGAUCUGCUACCUAUCAGGUAGUAGUGGGUGUAACGUACCUACUAGCCUACGGCGGGUACGGGUUGUGAGAGCAAGAGCCCGGAGAUGGAUUCUGAGACAUGAAUCCAGGCCCUACGGGGCGCACAGGCGCGAAAACUUUACAAUGUCCCAAACCGCGAUAAGGGGACACUGAGUGCCAGCACCAUGGGUUGGCUGUCCGCAUGUAUAAAUCACAUGUGUCACCAAGGACCGAGGAAGUACGGUGCCAGCCGCCGCGCGAACAUCGGCGCGCCGAGAGUAGCGCAUUAUUAUUGGCCCUAAAGGGUCCGUACUCGGUAUGAUCAGUCUUCCGGGAAAUCUGACAGCUCAACUGUUAGGCUUCUGGUGCAUACUGUCAGACUUGGAACCGGCAGAGUGAAGAGGUACUACAGGUGUAGGAGUGAAAUCUUGUAAUCCUUGUGGGACCACCAGUGUCGAAGGCGUCUUACUAUAACGGGUUCGACGGAGAUUGACGUAAGCUGGGCGCACGAACCGCAUUAGAUACCCGCGUAGUCCCACCCGUCUACGAUGCUCGCUACGUGUCUGGAAUGGAGCGACUCGUUUCACGUGCCCGCAUGGGAAGACGUGA
rnacentral:rRNA from 1 species